UCUAAUUCUGUAUCAGACUUCAGUACAAAUAUCGUCACAGUUAAGAAUACCCACCCCGUUUUGUUAUCAUUAUUAUUUUUUUACCUCAGACUUGAAAUGGGUGAGAUGAAGAUAGUAAACGACAACAUGACUUUCUUUUAACAGCACCUUGAAAAAAUACACUGCACUAGCAAAGGCAUUAAGAGGGGGAGAAAAGCCUUCAGACCCAAUGGUUAUAGGGCCCCGCAACGUGUGUGAGAGCAUAAGGGGACACGGUGACAACAUUGUCAUGGGUUAAUGUUAAUGCUUUAUGAGAAGGAAUUUGGUUCAAUUCAUUUACUUCAGAGGACUGUUCUGGACCUUCAUUAGC
rnacentral:lncRNA from 1 species